rnacentral:rRNA from 1 species
UACAGAGGGUGCAAGCGUUGUUCGGAAUUACUGGGCGUAAAGCGCACGUAGGCGGAUUUGUAAGUCAGGGGUGAAAUCCCGGGGCUCAACCUCGGAACUGCCUUUGAUACUGCAAAUCUCGAGUCCGAUAGAGGUGGGUGGAAUUCCCAGUGUAGAGGUGAAAUUCGUAGAUAUUGGGAAGAACACCGGUGGCGAAGGCGGCUCACUGGCUCGAUUACUUGACGCUCAGGCGCGAUAGCGUGGGGAUCAAACAGG